rnacentral:rRNA from 1 species
GAUGAACGCUGGCGGCGUGCUUAACACAUGCAAGUCGAACGGUGAAGGCGGAGCUUGCUCUGCUGGAUCAGUGGCGAACGGGUGAGUAACACGUGAGCAAUCUGCCCCUGACUCUGGGAUAAGCGCUGGAAACGGCAUCUAAUACUGGAUACGAGCUGCGAAGGCAUCUUCAGCAGCUGGAAAGAAUUUCGGUCAGGGAUGAGCUCGCGGCCUAUCAGCUUGUUGGUGAGGUAAUGGCUCACCAAGGCGUCGACGGGUAGCCGGCCUGAGAGGGUGACCGGCCACACUGGGACUGAGACACGGCCCAGACUCCUACGGGAGGCAGCAGUGGGGAAUAUUGCACAAUGGGCGAAAGCCUGAUGCAGCAACGCCGCGUGAGGGACGACGGCCUUCGGGUUGUAAACCUCUUUUAGCAGGGAAGAAGCGAAAGUGACGGUACCUGCAGAAAAAGCGCCGGCUAACUACGU